CCUACGGGUGGCAGCAGUGAGGAAUAUUGGUCAAUGGGCGCGAGCCUGAACCAGCCAAGUAGCGUGAAGGAUGACUGCCCUACGGGUUGUAAACUUCUUUUAUAAAGGGAUAAACUGAGGCACGUGUGCCUUUUUGUAUGUACUUUAUGAAUAAGGAUCGGCUAACUCCGUGCCAGCAGCCGCGGUAAUACGGAGGAUCCGAGCGUUAUCCGGAUUUAUUGGGUUUAAAGGGAGCGUAGGUGGGUUGUUAAGUCAGUUGUGAAAGUCUGAGGCUCAACUGUGAAAUUGCAUUUGAUACUGGCAGGCGUGAGUAUAGUUGAGGUAGGCGGAAUGCGUGGUGUAGCGGUGAAAUGCUUAGAGAUCACGAAGAACUCCGAUUGCGAAGGCAGCUUACUAAGCUGCCACUGACAUUGAUGCUCGAAAGUGUGGGUAGCAAACAGGAUUAGAUACCCGUGUAGUC
rnacentral:rRNA from 1 species